AACCCUUGUCAUUAGUUGCUACAUUUGGUUGGGCACUCUAAUGAGACUGCCGGUGACAAGCCGGAGGAAGGUGGGGAUGACGUCAAGUCCUCAUGGCCCUUAUAGGUGGGGCUACACACGUCAUACAAUGGCUGGUACAAACGGGUUGCCAACCCGCGAGGGGGAGCUAAUCCCACAAAGCCAGUCGUAGUCCGGAUCGUAGUCUGCAACUCGACUACGUGAAGUCGGAAUCGCUAGUAAUCGUGGAUCAGAAUGUCACGGUGAAUACGUUCCCGGGUCUU
rnacentral:rRNA from 1 species